UUGGAGAGUUUGGUAGGGACGGGUUGCCCGUUGAACGAUAUCCCUGGUGUCCCAGUUUGAGCUCACCGAGAAGAGUACUCUCAGCUCCAACAGGGAGAUAAGCACGCUUGAGUUCUCAUUCUCAAUAAGUCUUUUCA
rnacentral:rRNA from 1 species